AAGGAUUAGAUACCCUGGUAGUCCACGCCCUAAACGAUGUCUACUAGUUGUCGGGACUUAAUUGUCUUGGUAACGCAGCUAACGCGUGAAGUAGACCGCCUGGGGAGUACGGUCGCAAGAUUAAAACUCAAAGGAAUUGACGGGGACCCGCACAAGCGGUGGAUGAUGUGGAUUAAUUCGAUGCAACGCGAAAAACCUUACCUACCCUUGACAUGGCAGGAAUCCCGAAGAGAUUUGGGAGUGCUCGCAAGAGAACCUGCACACAGGUGCUGCAUGGCU
rnacentral:rRNA from 1 species